rnacentral:rRNA from 1 species
AUACGGAGGGUCCAAGCGUUAUCCGGAAUCAUUGGGUUUAAAGGGUCCGUAGGCGGGCAAUUAAGUCAGAGGUGAAAUCCCACAGCUCAACAGCGGAACUGCCUUUGAUACUGGUUGUCUUGAAUUAUAGUGAAGUAGAUAGAAUAUGUAGUGUAGCGGUGAAAUGCUUAGAUAUUACAUAGAAUACCGAUUGCGAAGGCAGUCUACUAACUGUAUAUUGACGCUGAUGGACGAAAGCGUGGGGAGCGAACAGGAUUAGAAACCCUAGUAGUCC